AUUGGAUCAAUGAUGCAUCUCUAGUCUGCAUUGUCUUUCUGUAACUUUGUUGAAGGAAUUGAAGAUGACACAUCUUAUGAGAUCUGGU